rnacentral:rRNA from 1 species
ACUCAAAUGAAUAGACGGGGGCCCGCACAAGCGGCGGAGCAUGCGGAUUAAUUCGAUGCAACGCGAAGAACCUUACCAAGGCUUGACAUGUUCCCGACCGCCACAGAGAUGUGGUUUCCCCUUUGGGGCGGGUUCACAGGUGGUGCAUGGUUGUCGUCAGCUCGUGUCGUGAGAUGUUGGGUUAAGUCCCGCAACGAGCGCAACCCUCGUUCCAUGUUGCCAGCGGGUUAUGCCGGGGACUCAUGGGAGACUGCCGGGGUCAACUCGGAGGAAGGUGGGGACGACGUCAAAUCAUCAUGCCCCUUAUGUCUUGGGCUUCACGCAUGCUACAAUGGCCGGUACAAUGGGUUGCGAUACUGUGAGGUGGAGCUAAUCCCAAAAAGCCGGUCUCAGUUCGGAUUGGGGUCUGCAACUCGACCCCAUGAAGUCGGAGUCGCUAGUAAUCGCAGAUCAGCAACGCUGCGGUGAAUACGUUCCCGGGCCUUGUACACACCGCCCGU